rnacentral:rRNA from 1 species
UACGGGAGGCAGCAGUGGGGAAUAUUGCACAAUGGGCGCAAGCCUGAUGCAGCCAUGCCGCGUGUAUGAAGAAGGCCUUCGGGUUGUAAAGUACUUUCAGUCGUGAGGAAGGUGUUAAGGUUAAUAACCUUAGCAAUUGACGUUAGCGACAGAAGAAGCACCGGCUAACUCCGUGCCAGCAGCCGCGGUAAUACGGAGGGUGCGAGCGUUAAUCGGAAUUACUGGGCGUAAAGGGCACGCAGGCGGUUAAUUAAGUUGGAUGUGAAAUCCCCGGGCUUAACCUGGGAAUGGCAUUCAAGACUGGUUAGCUAGAGUCUUGUAGAGGGGGUAGAAUUCCAUGUGUAGCGGUGAAAUGCGUAGAGAUGUGGAGGAAUACCGGGUGGCGAAGGCGGCCCCUGGGACAAAGACUGACGCUCAUGUGCGAAAGCUGGGGGAGCAAACAGGAUUAGAUACC